CCACACGCGGCUAUUAGAGCGCUUGAAAUGUGGCUGGUGUGACUGAGGAACUGAGUUUUUAAUUUCAUCUGGUUUGAGUGAUUUAAAUGUAAACAGCCACAUGUGGCUGGUGGGUUCACUCUUGGACUGUGGGACCUGGGACUCUGAACCCCUGCUUUGUCCAUCCUUGUUUCCCCACACCAAGGGGAGCGCCUGGCAGACGAUACACUGCACCGUGAGGACCUUGUCUUACUUCUCUCCUUCCUGCCCUUUGUUGGUCCUGGAGAUCCAGAAGCUUAGUCAUUGCCGGCAUCAUUCACUCCCAUUUCCAGAUGAGGGUAUUGAGGCCCAGAGGGACCAAGUAACCUGCCCAGGGUUACACAGCCUGUUGCUGGGAAAGCACGGAUUUCAACCCAGGUCUCGCUGACUUCUUAGUGUACACAGUUCCCUGCGAACUCCGCCGUCUCUUGAACUUCUGUCCCUGCUCAAAGGCAAAGAGCCUCGUGGGUUUAUAAAAUGAUGUGCCCUGUUUGGUGGACAGAACAUUCUGGGGUCCAGGGAGGCCAGUAAUUACAAGGGUCCCUGGCUUUUUGAAGACUCAGACCCAGUGGUUCGAGCACGUCAGUUCACGGAGGAAAGCAGUUCAGUCCUAAGAUGUCAUCUGCCUAAGGUAGCGGCGGAGGAAGGUCGAAGAGCCAAGUGUCUCAAACUCGCCCGAGAGCACAAUAGCUAAGAACGUUGACUUUAGAGUGUAAAAUGCUGCAGCCCCUUUGGAGAACAGUUUGGCAAUGUCUCAUAAAGUUAGAUACACUUUGAUACAAUCCAGCCAUUGCACUCCUAGGCAUUUGCCCAAGAGACGAAGACACAGCCACACAGAGACUUGUAUUCAAAUGCUCACGGCAGGUUGAUUCCUAACGGUCCAGCCCGGAGAAAGCCCAAAUGCCCAAGCAGAGGUGGACGGACAAACAAACUGGGGCACAUCCGUGCAAUGGAACAGCACUCAGCAAUGAAAAGGAACGGACUGUGGACGCGCACAACAAAAAGGAGGCAUCACGAAACAUUGUGCUGAGGGAGAGAAGCGGGACGCAGGCAUCCAUCCUGGACGAUAGUUCACACAAGAUUCUAGAAGGAGCAAAACUAGUUAAU
rnacentral:lncRNA from 1 species